AUGGCGCAGUCGCCGGCUAGCUCCUGCGUGUCGUCCGACGAGGAGGAGGCCAAGGCGAUGGUGGUGGCGGGGUGCCCGCGGUGCCUCAUGUACGUGAUGCUCUCGUCGGAGCCGCCCCGGUGCCCCCGCUGCAACAGCCCCGUGCUCCUGCAAUUCCUCCACGCCGCCGACGCCAACACCGCCAACACCAACACCAACACCAACGCCAACGCCACCACCAACAGGCAGGGCGGCAAGAGCUAG
rnacentral:rRNA from 1 species